GAGAUGAAUGCCUUGCGGAAAGUCUUCCCAGAGUCAGAUAUCUUGCUUUGCUGGUAUCAUGUUAUGCAAGCUGUUGUCCGCUGGCUUUCGAAGACAGACUCUGGAGUCAGUGGGCCAUCAAAUACUGAUGUUAGAACAGAAAUCAUUUCUUUCGUCAGAAAGAUGAAGCUUUGUGCAACACAUCAAGAUUUUAAGUCAACUGCUGAACAAUUCCUCAAGAGGUUUGAAGAUUUCCCAGCUCUUUGCUCAUACUUCAAGGAUCACUGG